UAUAUAAUGCACGUUUUUAUUAUUUCUGAAUUUCUUCAUAGAUGUAAUAGGGGUUGGGAGAAAGCACUAGCUGUAAGCUUUCUAUAGCAGAUGUGAAAGACACCAUUCUCUACACGUUAUUGAUCUUUCAGAAAGAAGUUUAGAACUGCAAUUUCCCCCAUCAACACCUUUCAUUCAGCCAACUAACCUUUAAGACAUUCAUUCAAAAUUACAUUCACUAUGAUAAAUACAAUCACCAAUGCUGACAACUAAUCCUCAAGACAGGGUUGAUAUAGGCUCUCACCUGGAUGCCUUCAAUAUAAUUUAAAAUUUACUCUCAAUACUUCACCAUUUGGUUAAUUUAAAAAAUAUAGAAUGCUAUGCAAGAGCAGGUACCUAUAAUUAUUUUACAAGUCUGUGCACUCAACAUAAUAAUUCAAAUGUGGAAUGUUUAAGAAGCCUUAAUUUCUAGAAAUUUCACAUGUUGAUAAAUCUUAAAUUACGUACGUAUUGCUGUAAAGUUAAUUAUGAAGGCUUCGCAACAACAUCUUUCGCAGAUAUAUAAAAAUAGUAAAUUCUCAAAAACUGUAAGGCCUGUCCCCUUUUAUGUCUCAAUAUUCAUAAACUCCACAUUACAGUAUCAAAGAUAUUUCUUUCAUUCGAAAAAAUUGAGAUUGUAUUGUGUAUUAUCUAAUUAUAUUAUAGCAAAUAUGUAUUUUUUCAAAUCCAAAGGCUCAAGUGCAAGUUAGUUAUUAACAGUGAAUUCCAUGCUUAGAUUUAAAUAUUCAAAUUUAUGAGUGGUGUCAACACCUCUGAAUGAAACCUAACAUGCUACAUAAGCACGCAAUCGUCUCGAACGUACCAUAACAAAAUACAAUGUAUAUAUGCAUAAUAAUACUCAUUAAUAAUUUCGUAUAAACAUAACUAUAAUUAAUACAUAUGUAUAUAAAGU
rnacentral:lncRNA from 1 species